rnacentral:rRNA from 1 species
AAAAUUUGUUAUUAAUUUGAUUUAUAUGUAAAUUUUUGUGUGAAAAUUAAUUUAUUUUAAAAAUUAGUUAUUUUAUUUUAUUCGCAGUAAUUAAUAUUAUUAAUUAAAGAAAUUUAGAAAUAGCAAUAUUAAAGAGUAUUGGUAAAAUUGGUGCCAGCAACUGCGGUUAUACCAAUAAUACAAAUAAAUUUUUUUAGAUUAAGUUAAAUUGUUUUUAUUUAAAUAAAAUUAAGUUUAUUAAGUGAAAUUUUAAAUUUAAAAAUUUUUAUAAUAAUAAAUAUUGAAACUAAAAAAUUUUUUGUAA